rnacentral:rRNA from 1 species
AACGUAGGAGGCAAACGUUAUCCGGAGUUACUGGGCGUAAAGCGCGUGUAGGCGGUUGGGCAAGUUCGGCGUGAAAGCUCCCGGCUAAACUGGGAGAUGGCGUUGAAAACUACCGAACUGGAGUGCGGCAGAGGAGUAGGGAAUUCCGGGUGUAGUGGUGAAAUGCGUAGAUAUCCGGAGGAACACCAGUGGCGAAGGCGCUGCUCUGGGCCGUAACUGACGCUGAGACGCGAAAGCGUGGGGAGCGAACGGG